rnacentral:lncRNA from 1 species
UGCCCAUGCAGUGGAGGCAGUGUCCCUAAAUGUUUAUGCAGUAUGUUGUGACGGAGGAUGCAGUGCACAUGAAGGCAGAGACAGUGUUCCUGCAGUGGUUUCAGGGACCCCAGCAUUGUGCUGGAAUGAGGAUGCAGGGGUCAUGCAGUGGAUGCAGUGUAUCACAAUGCGGAUACACUAUGUUUUGACAGAGGAUGCAUUGCCCAUGAAGCUGGAUGCGGUGAACCUGCAGUGGUUGCAGUGCCCCCUACAUUUUCCCUGAAUGUAGAUGCAGUGCCCAUGCAGUGCAUGCAGUGUCCCACAAGGUGGAUGUGGUAUGUUGUGACAGAGGAUGCAGUGCCAACGAAGGUGCAUGCAGUGAGCCUUCAUUGAUUGCAGUGCACCUGCGUUUCCACAUCAGCUGGACAGUGUUGCUGCAGUGGUUCCAGUGCCGCCUUCUGUGUCCCUGAAUGUGAAUGCAGUGCUCAAGCAGUGAAUGCAGUGUACCUAAAGGUUUAUGCAGUUUUGUGACGGGGGAUACAGUGCCCAUGAAGGUGGAUGUGGUGAACCUGUGUUGUUGCUGUGCCCCCUAGAGUUUCCCUGAAUGUGGAUGCAGUGCCCAUGCAGUGCAUGCUGUGUCCCACAAGGUGGAGGCAGUCUGUUGGGACGGAGCAUGCAGUACCCCUGAAGGUGGAUUCCGGGAGCCUGCAGUGAUUGCAGUGCACUUGCAGUGCCACUUCAGCUGGCUGCAGUGUCCCUGCAGUGGUUGCAGUGCCCCCUGCAUUGUCCUGGAAUGUGGAUGCAGUGCUCAUGAAGGGGAUGCAGUGUCCCACAAGGUGGAUGCAGUAUGUUUUGAUGGAGGAUGCAGGGCCCAUGAAGGUGGAUGCAGUGUCCCUGCAGUGCUUGCAUUGACCCCUUCAUUGUCUGCAAAAGUGGAUGCAGUAGUCAUGCAGUGGAUGCAGUGUCCCACAAGGUGGAUGCAGUAUGUUGUGAUGGAGGAUGCAGGGCCCAUAAAGGUGGAUGCAGUGAUGAUGCUGUGGGUGCAGUGCCGCCUACAGUUCCCUCAAUGUGGAUACAGUACCCAUGCAGUUGUUGCUGUGUCCCACAAAGUGGAUGUCGUAUGUAGUGAUGGAAGAUGCAGUGCCCACGUAGGUGGAUGCAGUGAGCCUGAAGUGGUUGCAGUGCCCCCUGAAGUUUACCUGAAAGUGGAUGCAGUGGUCAUGCAAUGGAUGCAGUGUCCCUAAAGGUGGAUGCCUUAUGUUGUGAUGCAGGAUUUAGUGAUCAUGAAGGAGGAUGUAUUGAUCCUGCAGUCAUUUCAGUGCACCAGCAGUGCUACUUCAGCUGGCUGCAGUGUCCCUGCAGUUGGUGCAGUGCCCCGUCCUGUGUCUCUGAGUGUGGAUGCACUUCUCAUGCUGUGGAUGCAGAAUACCAAAAGUUGGCUGCCAUAUGUUGAGACAGAGGAUGCAGAGCCCUGGAGUUGGAUGCAGU